rnacentral:rRNA from 1 species
UACGGAGGAUCCAAGCGUUAUCCGGAAUCAUUGGGUUUAAAGGGUCCGUAGGCGGUUUUGUAAGUCAGUGGUGAAAGCCCAUCGCUCAACGGUGGAACGGCCAUUGAUACUGCAAGACUUGAAUUAUUGGGAAGUAACUAGAAUAUGUAGUGUAGCGGUGAAAUGCUUAGAGAUUACAUGGAAUACCAAUUGCGAAGGCAGGUUACUACCAAUGGAUUGAACGCUG